AAACGACUCUCGGCAACGGAUAUCUCGGCUCACGCAUCGAUGAAGAACGUAGCAAAAUGCGAUACUUGGUGUGAAUUGCAGAAUCCCGUGAACCAUCGAGUUUUUGAACGCAAGUUGCGCCCUAAGCCAUCAGGUUGAGGGCACGUCUGCCUGGGCGUCACGCA
rnacentral:rRNA from 1 species